rnacentral:rRNA from 1 species
CGGUAAUACGAAGGGACCUAGCGUAGUUCGGAAUUACUGGGCUUAAAGAGUUCGUAGGUGGUUGAAAAAGUUGGUGGUGAAAUCCCAGAGCUUAACUCUGGAACUGCCAUCAAAACUUUUCAGCUAGAGUAUGAUAGAGGAAAGCAGAAUUUCUAGUGUAGAGGUGAAAUUCGUAGAUAUUAGAAAGAAUACCAAUUGCGAAGGCAGCUUUCUGGAUCAUUACUGACACUGAGGAACGAAAGCAUGGGUAGCGAAGAGGAUUAGAUACCCUCGUAGUCCAUGCCGUAAACGAUGUGUGUUAGACGUUGGAAAUUAAUUUUCAGUGUCGCAGCGAAAGCGAUAAACACACCGCCUGGGGAGUACGACCGCAAGGUUAAAACUCAAAUGAAUUGACGGGGACCCGCACAAGUAGUGGAGCAUGUGGUUUAAUUCGAAGAUACGCGCAGAACCUUACCAACACUUGACAUGUUCGUCGCGACUCUAAGAGAUUAGAGUUUUCGGUUCGGCCGGACGAAACACAGGUGCUGCAUGGCUGUCGUCAGCUCGUGUCGUGAGAUGUUGGGUUAAGUCCCGCAACGAGCGCAACCCUCACUUUUAGUUGCCAUCAUUAAGUUGGGCACUCUGAAAGAACUGCCAGUGAUAAGCUGGAGGAAGGUGGGGAUGACGUCAAGUCCUCAUGGCCCUUACGUGUUGGGCUACACACGUGCUACAAUGGUAUCUACAACAGGAAGCAAGACUGCGAAGUUUAGCAAAUCCUUAAAAGAUACCUCAGUUCGGAUUGCACUCUGCAACUCGAGUGCAUGAAGCUGGAAUUACUAGUAAUCGUGGAUCAGCGUGCCACGGUGAAUGCGUUCCCGGG